rnacentral:rRNA from 1 species
UAGGGAAUCUUCGGCAAUGGACGAAAGUCUGACCGAGCAACGCCGCGUGAGUGAAGAAGGUUCUCGGAUCGUAAAACUCUGUUGUUAGAGAAGAACAAGGACGUUAGUAACUGAACGUCCCCUGACGGUAUCUAACCAGAAAGCCACGGCUAACUACGUGCCAGCAGCCGCGGUAAUACGUAGGUGGCAAGCGUUGCCCGGAUUUAUUGGGCGUAAAGCGAGCGCAGGCGGUUUCUUAAGUCUGAUGUGAAAGCCCCCGGCUCAACCGGGGAGGGUCAUUGGAAACUGGGAGACUUGAGUGCAGAAGAGGAGAUUGGAAUUCCAUGUGUAGCGGUGAAAUGCGUAAAUAUAUGGAGGAACACCAGUGGCGAAGGCGGCUCUCUGGUCUGUAACUGACGCUGAGGCUCGAAGGCGUGGGGAGCAAACAGG